UGUAGACUGUGUAGGCUCACGAUGCAGGAGGCGGAUUCACACUGCUUUCGUAUUUUCUAAACUAUGUUUAUACGAUCGUCAUGCGUGUGUAUAUAUACGUAAUUUGGCUAUGGCCUAUUAAUAAAUGAUAUGAUAAUAUUAAUGGAAAGUUAGCUUAAGAAGAAUCGCGUUAUAUCUCACCAGUCUCGUAAGUAUCGAAGUAACCAACACGAUAACUCAACAGUUUAACGCAUGUUCCGUGUUUUUCUCAGAUAAAUGUUCCUGUACUUUUUGCAAGGGAUUAUCCGUAUACCGUGUCUGGCUUGUAAACGUUCGAAAUAAUUUUGCGUGGCAGAAUGAAGAGAGAGAAAGAGAGAGAGAGAGAGAGAGGGGGCAAAGUAUCUGGCGAGUAGACAAUGAAAGCCCACAAAAUCUCCCCGGAGUAGCGAUCCCUUCUGCAGGAUAAUAUCAUCGUGUCGAGCUUCACAUUGUGGAGAGACUCUUGCCGACGUUCGCCGAAGACUUUCUUGCUAGUUAGGAGAUACUUACUGUGAGUUAAAGCUCAUCACAGUCUCAGAGACAUCGCCUGUUAUCCGAUCUCAAAUUUACUUCGCCAUUUUUCCACCACUUAUACUCCUCGGAUCAAUUUCGCAUUCUCUCUAGCUUUCUCAAAGCACAUUCUAAAUUUCCUAUUUUCAGAUAAUCUUACUUAUGCAAAUUUAUGAUUUUAUUAACGUAACCGGAGGAACGGUUCAUCCAUCAAAAAAUAACGUCACCGGACUACGGAUUUUUAUGCAAAUUCAUAUUCUCGUAGACGCAAAGAGAGGAAAUUGAGUCUAAAGAGGGAGAGAGAGUCGCUUGAUUCUCCGAAUAUCGGAAGUCUACUUUAGAAAUAUUACUAUGGCUAUACUAUAGUAUCAUUGGAAUUUUUCAUAAAUGCGUUAUUUCGGAAUCGUAGAAACGUUUUAGACAGUUAGAGAAUUUUGUACAGGCCCGUAGGGAUUGAAACAGGGCACCAUUUGCCGAUUCCUAUGUUUACCUCGCCGCGCCACGAAGUUUCCUUAAUCGUUGUUACUACCACUGAAAGAAGUUAUUUCUAUAGAAAGCGGCUUUCGUUAUUGCGAUGCUUUCCUCCACUUCGUUUUAUCGACUUUUUUCAAGGACUGUUGCGUUGUUUCUUUGGAAAGUGUUUUUUUUUGUUUUAUACAUAUCGAGGGAUUUGCAGAAAGCAAUCUCCUGAUUUUUCGAAGGUUGUCGAGCACAUUCUCUCUUUCAGCCGGUUGUUUCGUGUAACUCUAUCUCCGGUGAUUGAUGGUCCCGUCAACCCGUGAUCUAUCGCGUUAAUCACGAGAUACCCCGUUACGGUUUCAUUCUUUUUUUUCCCUAACAGUCAUUAAACGGAUCGCCGGCACUACAUCGAAGGAUCUCGUCGGUGUCUUAAUCUUCUCGCUGCCGUUUUGAUUUAUCGUUUCCCUUUAUCUACCAUGGUCCUUCCAACGAACGAAUCAUCGAAUUACCUUUUUCUCUUUCGGCCAAACACAUUAUUUAGCCACCAAAGUGGAUAGCUGUAACACUUCUUAAACCAUUACGAACAAACAACAAUGCUACGCUGUUCUUACAAUUACCGUAAACUCGAAUCCAAACUUCUACGAUUUCCAAAGCUUACAUUUAUACCGCGAAAUCUUCUUUAUUUGUAGAUAGAAUUUCCGAGUCGUCGAAUUCUAGGAUUAAUAGGAUAAAAAUUGUAUCUUAUUACUCGACCAAUGGGAAGAUAAGAAAAUCUAUGAAAGUCACAUCGUCCAAGUUAGAAGCUCGAUUACCUCUAACUUGUUCGAUGUGUAAUUAUAUAAUGGAUUACUAGCAUGUGCAAUUAUAUUAUUUCUUCUACGAGACUCUUCCAAACCAAUUUCUACUAUAUUAAUCAAUGCUAGCCAGCUCUUUUUCCAGUUUCAAUAAUACUCGUUUCUUUCUAUUUCUAUCCUUUCGACUAUAUCACACGCAUACGGGUCGUACCAUGACCUGUACUAUCGGGGUCUUCGUCAAAGAAAACGUGGGAGCAAAGGCCAAACCGUAGAGGUACGAUAUUUCUGUCGAUAAUUGUUAGGAGCGCGGCCUAUGUGCAUGUGCUCUCUAUUUCGUGUUCGUUUGAUGAAACGGGCUAAGGUACAUCAGCCAUUCGUUUCAUUCGAGAUUACGUCCUUGGACAUUUUCUAGGACACUGCAGCAGCCCGCUUUCCCGCGCCAAUGAUCUUCACGCGGCGAGGAGCUUUCUCUCCCCUCGUUACGAUCCGCGGCUAUCUUGAUCGUCAUCCUUAUCUCUGCGGAGAUCUGCCACGAUUCGAUCGACAAACGCUGCUCGAGACAACGAGAAUACUUGAAAGAGGCGAUAUAGUGACGCUUGCGACAAUUUUUUGAAAUAAAUCCGUAGCAUCGAUCAACGAUGGGAUGGAAGCUGCCGGAACAAACCACGGCUCCAUUAUUUUCUCAAAUUCCACGCACAUGCACGGGAUUAAUAACGAAUUCUCAAGAAGGAAAUGGCUCGUUUCCCAUUGGGGAAGGUUAACUUCUAAGGAUUAUUUUAAGGAUUAAGUGAUCGCGAUUCGAUGGCCACGGAUUGUAGUUAAAUUGGCGUGAUCAACGCAGAGGUAGACAACGAUAAUGCUCAACGAUAGCCAGGUCCGUGAUCAGCUCGUGCGAAGAAUCCUUCAGCUAAAUCUAGAGAGGCUAUAAAGUGGUUUUUCCUGUGGGGCGGAUUAUGCAGAGGGGUCGGUUUCGAUCGGGCUUCGAUCGGCCGCCGGGUCGACAGCCACUCGAUAAAAGCAAAGAGAGAGAGAGAGAGAGAGAGAGAGAGGAAGCGCGAAGAGUGUUCGUGACACGCCCUCGAGGGUCGCAUCGAACCGCCGCUCAGAGAAAAGAAUUUGGCGCCCGUCGAUGAACUUUCCAAGCUUUUUCCUUUGUCUCGGAUUCAAAGUUCCCAUCGGGAAACUUUUUAUUUCGCCGAGCGAUAAAUCAACGGCGGUGCGCAUUUCGUGGAGGAAUUGCAGCGUGAAGAACAAAACGCGAAACCAAUGUUUCGGACGUGGAUUCUUCCAUUUGGAUUUUUCCCCUUUCCCCUGUAUAAUUUACGUGUUUGUCCAUUCCAGGUAAUUGGCGAGCGUUGGUUAUCGCAAUUUAUUACAACGCCAUAAAUCAGCAUCUAGCGAGGUGCUUUCCGCCAAAGAACGUUGCUGCGAGGACGUGUAUCGCGUCCGAUCGAUUUUCCCCGCCGAUAAUUUCCACUUAGUUUUACAAAGGCUGGCGGCACACGUUACCUGGUCCGAACGGAAUUUUUCUUGUCGAAGGUUGUUUAAGGGCUAACGCGUCCCGCCUCGAUCAAUUAUUCUCGGUAUCAGCCUCGGGACUGAAACGACCAGCCUGCAACCUCCAAGAAGUUAUCUAUCCAGGCGAGCGACUACAAAAUAGAGAUUAGCUACACUGGCUCGCGAAAUUAUGCGAACCUCCUACAAGAUUUGUACCUCCAUAUAGUAUGUCGUAUAGAACAUUCUAAAACUGCAUUGGGAUUUCAAUGAGAUAUGACUGUCAUUUGGUUGUGUUGGUAAAACUUGGAGUGAAUCUGAGAAUAUAUACAGAAGAUAUACAGGGUGCGGCAGAAUAAAAAUAAGAACGAAAUAU